rnacentral:snoRNA from 11 species
UGCCUACGUGAUGAGCUCCUAGUUAGUGCCAUCGUGUCUGGGCCACUGAUAACCCUGUGAUGGAACUGAGGAUCUGAAUGGCA